AUGCAGAUAAAUGGCUGCUGUGAUGUGACUUUUGGUAAUGAGCGUGCUCACUGCCAGCUUCUGCAUGAGGAAGCGACAUACCAUUGUGGACCAAAUGGAAUAUUUUACGAAUCACAAGGCCAGAUGAUGAUCCAGUACACAGCAUAUACGGGGAAAAAAACGGAGGAGAAUGUUUUAAGGUCACAGAAUCUCCAGUUUGUCUCUGCCCCGGGGGUGGUAAGUUUGUUCUCACCCUCCCCUUCCUCCGGAAGAUGUCACGGUCGGGAUCUGGGGGUGGGAAGAGUUGGGUUGGAAGGGACGGGCGUGGGGCUGGAGAGCCCUCUGUACAGGCUGGAAGCCCUUUGCUGCUUCCUAAAGCUGGGGCACUGCCAAGCAGCAGCCUGUGCGGGGUGAACGCUCCCCACACAGCCUGCCCUUCUGUCUCCCUGCAGCGCUCUAGCUGCUCCGGGAUUCCCGGUACCCUUUCUCAUUGUCCUUGUGUUUUGUAAGUCCCCUUGGUCCAAAAGAAUAACACGCCAGUAACUGCAGGGAUUGUAAUUGUUUAAUUCUCACUUUUAGGGAGAAGGGCGGGCAGCCCUCGGUGGCUGGGGUCAGAGCAGGAGCAGGCCGAGAGCCAGGUGGUGGCGAGUAGGUGCCACCUGGGGGCUCUGCAGGCUCGGGAGAGGUGUGUGCCACCGAGCCGGGCACCGGCACCGCGCUCCUCCGCCGGGCCCUGGCGGUGCUUCCAAACAUGGAACGAACUUCCCGGCGGGACGGGCUGGCGGUGCUGCCCCGCGGGAAGGGGACGGAGCGCGGAACUGCCGUUUGCCUGCAGCGGUGGCAGGGCCCGGGCUCUCGCUGGCUCCCGUUCCCGCACGGAGAGUGCGGGGCUGGCUCGCCCUUAGCAUCGCCCCUUUCGGGGAACCGCAGAGUUCAGUGGGAGGGGGGCUCUGGCCUUAACGUACCCACCUUUGUGCCUUGACGUGUUAUGGAUUUAAUUGUAUGUAUCUAAGAGGAGCUGCUGCUGAAUGUUUAAAGCUCGAUGUAAUUCAUACGCAUUUUUAUUUUGCGAAGUAAGCCCGUAUAUUGACCUAUUAAUUGCAUUUAGGCGUAUUUUAGGGUAUCUGGAUUCAGUGGGCGUGAAAAUGUCUUUUGGGGCCCGCGCAUUGCUGGGGGCCAGGACGAGCCGGGGAGGGCUCCCUUCCCCUGACGUUCCCGGGUGCCUGUUGCGGUGUCCCUAAGCGGGCCAGGGGGGUGUCCCCAAUCGUCGCCGAGCCCGGCCGCCCGGGCGGCUCCGUGGGGCCCCCGCCAGCGCGGCGGCGCCUCCCGCCCGCCCCCGGCCGGCAGCGGCGCGGCGCCUCAAGGGUUAAGGCCGUGGCGGCGCUCGGCGCGGAGGGAUACGGAGCCGGAGCCG
rnacentral:lncRNA from 1 species